CAAAUCAACAAAUACCAUGUGCCCAUUU
rnacentral:sRNA from 1 species